GGUGGUCCGGCCUCUCCCCCCCGGGGCUCGGCCCGCCCGACGGCCCCGGUCAUCCCCCCGACCGGGGCCGUCGCCU
rnacentral:sRNA from 1 species